rnacentral:sRNA from 12 species
GUCGUAUAAAGAUGUAUAGAUGCGAGACAAUCUAGCAUUUCCCUUUACGGCAUUGUAGUAAUGUUAGAAAUUCAAACAAAAGUAAUUGUUGUAUGGUUAAAAAUUGAAACAAUUUGAGUUUGAAUGGAAGAGGUUAACCGUAUGACCUUGUGUUGAAAAACACUAAAAAUAAUCUUGAAAUAGUAAUGCUAAAUUUUAUUUUAAGUUACGGUUCG